rnacentral:rRNA from 1 species
UACGAAGGGUGCAAGCGUUACUCGGAAUUACUGGGCGUAAAGCGUGCGCAGGCGGUUCGUUAAGUCUGCUGGGAAAGCCCCCGGCUCAACUGGGGAACUGCACGGGAAACUGACGGACUUGAGUUCGGGAGAGGGAAGCGGAAUUCCGGGUGUAGCGGUGAAAUGCGUAGAUAUCCGGAGGAACACCGGUGGCGAAGGCGGCUUCCUGGACCGACACUGACGCUGAGGCGCGAAAGCUAGGGGAGCAAACGGG